CAGUAGCCGCGGUAAUACGUAGGUGGCAAGCGUUGUCCGGAAUUAUUGGGCGUAAAGGGCUCGCAGGCGGUUUCUUAAGUCUGAUGUGAAAGCCCCCGGCUCAACCGGGGAGGGUCAUUGGAAACUGGGAAACUUGAGUGCAGAAGAGGAGAGUGGAAUUCCACGUGUAGCGGUGAAAUGCGUAGAGAUGUGGAGGAACACCAGUGGCGAAGGCGACUCUCAGGUCUGUAACUGACGCUGAGGAGCGAAAGCGUGGGGAGCGAACAGGAUUAGAUACCCCUGUAGUCCCUGUCUCUUAUAC
rnacentral:rRNA from 1 species